UGAGGAAUAUUGGUCAAUGGACGAAAGUCUGAACCAGCCAUGCCGCGUGAAGGAAUAAGGCCCUAUGGGUCGUAAACUUCUUUUGUAUGUGAGCAAUAAGGUCCACGCGUGGUCCGAUGAGAGUAGCAUACGAAUAAGCAUCGGCUAACUCCGUGCCAGCAGCCGCGGUAAUACGGAAGGUCCGGGCGUUAUCCGGAUUCAUUGGGUUUAAAGGGAGCGCAGGCCGCCCCUUAAGCGUGUUGUGAAAUGCCGCGGCUCAACCGUGGCACUGCAGCGCGAACUGGGGGGCUUGAGUGCGCGCAGCGCAGGCGGAACUCGUGGUGUAGCGGUGAAAUGCUUAGAUAUCACGAAGAACUCCGAUCGCGAAGGCAGCCUGCGGGAGCGUAACUGACGCUGAGGCUCGAAAGUGCGGGUAUCGAACAGGAUUAGAUACCCUGGUAGU
rnacentral:rRNA from 1 species